rnacentral:rRNA from 1 species
AUACGAAGGGGGCGAGCGUUGUUCGGAAUCACUGGGCGUAAAGAGUACGUAGGCGGAUUGAAAAGUCAGAUGUGAAAGCCCAGGGCUUAACCCUGGAACUGCAUUUGAAACUUUCAGUCUAGAGACCGGGAGAGGAUAGCGGAAUUCCGAGUGUAGAGGUGAAAUUCGCAGAUAUUCGGAGGAACACCAGUAGCGAAGGCGGCUAUCUGGACCGGUACUGACGCUGAGGUACGAAAGCGUGGGGAGCAAACCGGAUUAGAAACCCCGGUAGUCC